GCGGGCCGGGCCUGUGUUCAGGACCAGAGCCGUCCUGGGUGCUUUUCCACGGAAGCUGGAAACAACCAUCACGACAGGACACACUGUCAGCUGGGGGCGGGGAGGGGGAGACGCUCUGACUGAUCCGCAGAAAGACAAAAACAGGCAGUUCUGCUGUUCUAGCAUUUCCCCUGGCUGGCCCUAGCCCAGGCCUGCGUUUUCCCCUGUUUAUUGACUUUGUUCCCUGUGAAUGUCCCCACGGAGUGACCUGGGCAGGGGGCACAAUGACAGUGGUCAUGAGUCAUCUCGAAACCUGUCUCUGAAGCAUUUUUCCCAGGCCAGGUGGUGAGGGACCUCUCCCCAUUAACUCAACACCAGGGAUGGGGCCAGAGGAACCCUUUGAUCCCUCCCUUCCUGAGUCCAGGCAGGAAAAGCUGACAACCGGUCAACGUCAAGGCUGCUGACUUGGACACAAGAUGGACGGGAAAUGCAAGGGGCUGAGCUUCUAUCCCCCUUCUGUGUCUGUCCCAGUACGUUUGUGGCAAUCCCUGCCACAUGGCGGUGGCCACCUGGUGCCACCUCUCCCCAGUGCAGCCAGCCGUUUCCCAACGACUGUCCCAGACUGGAUGCUUUCUUCCUGGAUGUGCUCACCCUGGUGGUGUGAGGUGACUGGAGGCUUAGCGGUUGGACGGCAGGCAGGGUUUCCAUGAGGCAGGUCUACAAAGGGAGGGGGCGACCAGGCUGCUGGGGAGUGAGCUCUGAGCCAAGGUCUGACAAAGCUUCAAAGUUCAUCUGAUGCCAGGGCGUGAAGACUCGCAGCACCUGCUUGAGCGGCCAGCGGGCUCUGUGGGCGCAGCUUCAGGGCAACUCUGGACACCCACCCCUGAGGGACGUCCUACUACCCGCCCUGCAGAUUCCCCUCUAGGUGUCCGGUUGCUAGAACUCAGGAGGACAAGAGUUCGGAUUAGAAGGGACCUCAGAGAUCUGGGCCGGGGACCCCAGACUCCUCAACCCUCGGAGCCCUUCAAGAAACAGUGGAUGCCUCACAAAUGAAAUAGGAAUGGCAUUGCCGACAUCCUUUACCUAUCAGCUCUCAGUUGCGUCAAGUUCGUGCCGAACCCUCUGCUUCCAGCAGGUGCCACCGUGCCUUCCACUGGGCUCACAGGGCAGCCCGGCCCCGCUCUGGCCGCGACCACCUGCCCUGGGAACACUCGGGCUUCUGGACACCCCACUCCUGCUUGCACCACCCGGGAAAAGGCCUUCCGAUCAGAUCGUGACCCCCUUCGAUGGAAACACGUCCUGACCUCAGAGAUGCUGGAAGAACUAUUUGCCGAGAACAGGAGUGGGGGGGCCUUACCAUCGCUGGGGCCCUGGACUCGAGGGACACUUUCCCAGCCACAUGUCUCUGCCUUCUGGGGCCGGGGUCUGGAGCAGCACUGGGUGCUGCAUCUCAGGUCCCUGGGAAGACAGCAGAGCCCCCCCCCCCCCCCCGGGAGACUGGACUCCUGGGGCUCCAGUCCCCAAGCCCUCCCCACAGCGGCUCUGCCCUUCCAGGAUGGAUGCCACCCCCCACCCCCGACUGGCACUCCCCGCCGCAGGUUCCUGUCUUCCCAGCCUUCCCCUCACUCCAUGUCCCCAUCUCUGAACCUACCCCUUCAUCCCAGAACACGUUUCCUAGAUUCUUCCCUAGGACGGCUUCUUCUGUGACCUCAUUGCACAGUGAAGGUGGGAGCGGGGGCCAGGGCCGAUGGAGGCCGGGUUAAGGAAGAGGCCGCAGCUCUCGGGCUCUCCGAGGCUGCCCGCUGCCCAUGGCUUGCAGCUCGCAUCUUUUCCCAUCAGGUAGGACGUGCCCUGGAGGACAAGGCAGGCUCUUCAUUGGAGGGCCACCCUCCCUGAGCCCUCCCCCGUGGUUACCAGGUGGGACACAGGCCCCUCCCUGUGUCCUCGAAGGCCAGCUCCUGCCAGGUCUGUGGGUGGCAGGAAGCCCCCCCCAGGAGUGUGUUCUCUGCCCUUAGUUCUUCUGUGGGUCUGGUUUUCCAGCAUCGUCAUCGUGGUGGGAACAGGAGCUUGUGUGUGCGCAACAAAAUCUGGAAGCAGCGACCGCCACGCCAAGGAUCACGCUUCUGAUAACAGUACAUAAAGUCUUAAAAAAGGACUAAGAAAAGCAAGCGGCUUCAUUAAGAUGCCACUGGCCAGCGUGAGAGCGCCCCGGCUUGGCGCUUCUCCUGGGAGUGCCCGCAGGCCGCAGAGCAGAGAGCAGGGGCUGCGGCCUCGCCAAGUGGGGAGUGGGCACAGGGGGCUGCGAGCUGAGCCAGGAGCUGGGCGCUCACACCCACUUCCCGGGGCCGUGAGUAAGCAGGCACUCUGGGCGUUGGGGGCAAAGUCCCCUUCCCCACAGGGGUGGCUGAAGAGAGGCCCCUGCCCCAAGCGUGCCUGCUGCCAUCUCCACGGGCGGUGCUACUGGACGGUGAGGGGCAGCGGGCCUCAUUUUCCCCAGUGCCCCACGGGGCCUUGUACAGCGGGCCCUUCUUGCAGGCCUGCGUGGUUCUGGGCACGUCUCCCCUCCUCGGCUCCGAUGAUCAAGCCCUCUUUCCUUUUGGGUGGGAAAAGCCAGGAUGGUCCAUUUAUUUUUAUUUUAUUUUAUUUUUUUUUAUUUAUGAUAGUCACAGAGAGAGAGAGAGAGGCAGAGACAUAGGCAGAGGGAGAAGCAGGCUCCAUGCACCGGCAGCCCGAUGUGGGAUUCGAUCCCGGGUCUCCAGGAUCGCGCCCUGGGCCAAAGGCAGGCGCCAAACCGCUGCGCCACCCAGGGAUCCCCAGGAUGGUCCAUUUAGAGGAGGGGUCCAAGGCCACAACCUGGCACCCCUUCCGGAGACCUGCACUCCCAGAAGCCAUUGCAGGGCUGUCCCAAGAGCUGCAGCUGCCUCCGGCCUCUUCAUAUGCCACUGUCAUUCCCCUGCCACCACCUGCUCUCCGGAGUCUGAGGACACGGGCACUAAUCCUGCCCCUCUAACAGGUGGGGGCUGUGGGCGGGAGCCCCCAGUAUUUAGGCACCUUGAUGUCACCUCCAGGAAGAGGACUGGUCUCAGGUGGGCCGAGGGGCCUUCUGCGUGCUGGCCAGGCCGUUUCGCUCCUCAAGCCUGCGCCCCUCAAAGCUCCUCAGAGCUGCGCACUGCUGUUCCCAUUUCCAGCGAUUUGCCAUGCAGGCGUCUGUCUCAUCCCAGGGAGAAUUGAAGCUUCCAGAAGACAGAGAUCCUAUCACCCGUUGACCUGAAAAUAAUUUAUGAUGAAUGAAAAAGUUGGCUUAAACCACAAUGAGAGACUUUGUAGCCAUUAGGAUGGCUGUUAUGAACACACACACACACGCAGAACACGUGGGUGAGGGUGUGGAGGAAUUGGGACCCUCGUGCACCGCUGGUGGGGAUGUAAAAGGGUGCAGCCAUUGUGGAAAGCAGGAUGGAGGCCCCUCAAAAGAGUAAACCUAGAACUACGUAGGACCCAGCAGUUCCUCUCUGGGGGUAUGCCCCGGAGAAGUGAAAGCAGGGACUUACACAGAUAUUUGUACACCCAUGACCAUAGCAGUGUCAGUCACAAUAGCCAGGAGAUGCAAGCGGACCAGGUGUCAUCAAUUAGCCAAUGGCUAAAAAUAAUUGACUGAUAAAUGGAGAAAAAUGUUGGAUGUCCAUACAGUGGGACACUGUUGAGGCAUAAAAAGGAAGGAAAUUCUGACAUGUGCUAUGACAAGGGAUGGGUCCUGAGGACUUUAUGCUCAGCGAAACAAGCCAGACCACAAAAGGACAAAUACUGUAGGAUUCCCCGUAUAUGAGGUCCCAGAGGAGAUACACAGUAUUGGAGGGGGUGCCAGGGGCCGGGGCGGGCGGAUGGGGCAUUAGUGUUUAAUGGGGACAGAGCUGCAUUUUGGGCAGUUGACAAAGUUCUGGAGAGGGAUAGUGGGGAUGGUUGCUCAACACUGUGAAUGUGCUUAAUGCCGCUGAACUGGACGCUUGAAAUGGUUAAAAUGGCAAAUUUCUAUUUUUUAUGUAUACUUGCACGUAUUUUACAAUUAA